CCUACGGGAGGCUGCAGUGAGGAAUAUUGGUCAAUGGACGAGAGUCUGAACCAGCCAAGUAGCGUGAAGGAUGACUGCCCUAUGGGUUGUAAACUUCUUUUAUAUGGGAAUAAAACGUUCCACGUGUGGGAUUUUGUAUGUACCAUAUGAAUAAGGAUCGGCUAACUCCGUGCCAGCAGCCGCGGUAAUACGGAGGAUCCGAGCGGUAUCCGGAUUUAUUGGGUUUAAAGGGAGCGUAGGUGGAUUGUUAAGUCAGUUGUGAAAGUUUGCGGCACAACCGUAAAAUUGCAGUUGAAACUGGCAGUCUUGAGUACAGUAGAGGUGGGCGGAAUUCGUGGUGUAGCGGUGAAAUGCUUAGAUAUCACGAAGAACUCCGAUUGCGAAGGCAGUUCACUGGACUGCAACUGACACUGAGGCUCGAAAGUGUGGGUAUCAAACAGGAUUAGAUACCCGUGUAGUC
rnacentral:rRNA from 1 species